rnacentral:rRNA from 1 species
GGGCGGGAGCCUGAUCCAGCCAUGCCGCGUGCAGGAUGACGGCCCUAUGGGUUGUAAACUGCUUUUAUACGGGAAGAAACGCACCUACGAGUAGGUGUCUGACGGUACCGUAAGAAUAAGGACCGGCUAACUCCGUGCCAGCAGCCGCGGUAAUACGGAGGGUCCGAGCGUUAUCCGGAAUCAUUGGGUUUAAAGGGUCCGUAGGCGGGCCUGUAAGUCAGGGGUGAAAGUUUGUGGCUCAACCAUAAAAUUGCCUUUGAUACUGCAGGUCUUGAGUCAUGGUGGGGUCGCCGGAACAUGUGGUGUAGCGGUGAAAUGCAUAGAUAUCACAUAGAACACCGAUCGCGAAGGCAGGUGGCCAACCAUGUACUGACGCUGAUGGACGAAAGCGUGGGUAGCGAACGGGAUUAGAUACCCCGGUAGUCCACGCCGUAAACGAUGGAUACUAGCUGUGGGGACCUCGGUCUCCGUGGCCAAGCGAAAGUGAUAAGUAUCCCACCUGGGGAGUACGUUCGCAAGAAUGAAACUCAAAGGAAUUGACGGGGGCCCGCACAAGCGGUGGAGCAUGUGGUUUAAUUCGAUGAUACGCGAGGAACCUUACCAGGGCUUAAAUGCAGGCUGCAUGGGGUGGAGACACCCCUUUCUUCGGACCGCCUGCAAGGUGCUGCAUGGUUGUCGUCAGCUCGUGCCGUGAGGUGUCAGGUUAAGUCCUAUAACGAGCGCAACCCCUACCGUUAGUUGCCAGCAUGUAAAGAUGGGGACUCUAGCGGGACUGCCGGUGCAAACCGAGAGGAAGGUGGGGACGACGUCAAAUCAUCACGGCCCUUACGUCCUGGGCUACACACGUGCUACAAUGGCCGGUACAGAGGGAAGCCACCCCGCAAGGGGGCGCGGAUCUACAAAACCGGUCACAGUUCGGAUCGGGGUCUGCAACUCGACCCCGUGAAGCUGGAAUCGCUAGUAAUCGGAUAUCAGCCAUGAUCCGGUGAAUACGUUCCCGGGCCUUGUACACACCGCCCGUCAAGCCAUGGAAGCCGGGAGUGCCUGAAGUCCGUCACCGAGAGGAGCGGCCUAGGGCAAAAUCGGUAACUAGGGCUAAGUCGUAACAAGGUAGCCGUACCGGAAGGUGCGGCUGGAACACCUCCUUUCU